rnacentral:rRNA from 1 species
UUGGAGGGCAAGUCUGGUGCCAGCAGCCGCGGUAAUUCCAGCUCCAAUAGCGUAUAUUAAAGUUGUUGCAGUUAAAAAGCUCGUAGUUGAAUUUCGGGGUUCUACCGUUGGUCGGGCUUUGUCUGUACUGGUGUGUAGAACUUCUACCUUCUGGGGAACCAUCAUGCUAUUAAUUUAGCGUGGUGGGAAACCAGGACCUUUACCUUGAAAAAAUUAAUGUGUUCAAAGCAGGCUUAUGUCUGAAUACAUUAGCGUGGAAUAAUAGAAUAGGACGGUGGUCCUGUUUUGUUGGUUUCUGAAUCACCGUAAUGAUUAAUAGGGAUAGUUGGGGGCAUUAGUAUUCAAUUGUCAGAGGUGAAAUUCUUGGAUUUAUUGAAGACUAACUACUGCGAAAGCAUUUGCCAAGGAUGUUUUCAUUAAUCAAGAACGAAAGUUAGGGGAUCGAAGACGAUCAGAUACCGUCGUAGUCUUAACCAUAAACUAUGCCGACUAGGGAUCGGACGAUGUUAAUUUUUCUCGACUCGUUCGGCGCCUUACGGGAAAC